rnacentral:rRNA from 1 species
UACGGAGGAUGCAAGCGUUAUCCGGAAUGAUUGGGCGUAAAGCGUCCGCAGGUGGCUGUGUAAGUCUGCUGUUAAAGAGUGAGGCUCAACCUCAUAAAGGCAGUGGAAACUACAUGGCUAGAGUGCGUUCGGGGCAGAGGGAAUUCCUGGUGUAGCGGUGAAAUGCGUAGAGAUCGGCAGGAACACCCAGGGGGAAGCCAGUCGACUGGGCAGCACCUGACGCUGAGGUGCGAGAGCGUGGGGAGCGAACCGG